rnacentral:rRNA from 1 species
AAUAGAUACCCUGGUAGUCCACGCCGUAAACGAUGAGUGCUAAGUGUUAGAGGGUUUCCGCCCUUUAGUGCUGCAGCUAACGCAUUAAGCACUCCGCCUGGGGAGUACGGCCGCAAGGUUGAAAACUCAAAGGAAUUGACGGGGGGCCCGCACAAGCGGUGGAGCAUGUGGUUUAAUUCGAAGCAACGCGAAGAACCUUACCAGGUCUUGACAUCCUCUGCUAACCCUAGAGAUAGGGCGUUCCCCUUCGGGGGACAGAGUGACAGGUGGUGCAUGGUUGUCGUCAGCUCGUGUCGUGAGAUGUUGGGUUAAGUCCCGCAACGAGCGCAACCCUUGAUCUUAGUUGCCAGCAUUCAGUUGGGCACUCUAAGGUGACUGCCGGUGACAAACCGGAGGAAGUGGGGAUGACGUCAAAUCAUCAUGCCCCUUAUGACCUGGGCUACACACGUGCUACAAUGGAUGGUACAAAGAGCUGCGAACCCGCGAGGGUAAGCCAAUCUCAUAAAGCCAUUCUCAGUUCGGAUUGUAGG